rnacentral:rRNA from 1 species
CAGGAUGAACGCUAGCGACAGGCUUAACACAUGCAAGUCGAGGGGCAGCAUAGAAGUAGCAAUACUUGGUGGCGACCGGCGCACGGGUGAGUAACGCGUAUGCAACCUACCUAUCAGAGGGGAAUAACCCGGCGAAAGUCGGACUAAUACCGCAUAAAACAGGGGCACCGCAUGGUGAUAUUUGUUAAAGAAAUUCGCUGAUAGAUGGGCAUGCGUUCCAUUAGGUAGUUGGUGAGGUAACGGCUCACCAAGCCGACGAUGGAUAGGGGAACUGAGAGGUUGGUCCCCCACACUGGUACUGAGACACGGACCAGACUCCUACGGGAGGCAGCAGUGAGGAAUAUUGGUCAAUGGGCGGGAGCCUGAACCAGCCAAGUCCGCGUGAAGGAAGAAGGAUCUAUGGUUCGUAAACUUCUUUUGCAGGGGAAUAAAGUGCAGGACGUGUCCUGUUUUGUAUGUACCCUGAGAAUAAGGAUCGGCUAACUCCGUGCCAGCCGCCGC